AAACCGUUACCAUUAUUGUAAC
rnacentral:miRNA from 1 species